AGUUUGAUCCUGGCUCAGAGUGAACGUUGGCGGCGUGGAUUAGGCAUGCAAGUCGAGCGAUCGUAGCAAUACGGGAGCGGCAAACGGGGUAGGAAUACGAUCGGAACGUACCUUUUGGUUGAGAAUAGCGUUGGGAAACUGACGGUAAUACUCAAUAAAGUCGAGAGACCAAAGGUUUACUGCCGGAAGAGCGGCCGAUGCGAUAUUAGGUAGUUGGUGGGGUAAUGGCCUACCAAGCCUGAGAUGUCUAGGGGGUGUGAGAGCAUGGCCCCCACCACUGGGACUGAGAUACUGCCCAGACACCUACGGGUGGCUGCAGUCGAGGAUCUUCGUCAAUGGGCGAAAGCCUGAACGAGCGACGCCGCGUGCGGGAUGAAGGCCCUUGGGUUGUAAACCGCUGUCAGGGGGAUGAAACCGUAAGGUUGACAGAGCCCCAGAGGAAGCACGGGCUAAGUUCGUG
rnacentral:rRNA from 1 species